rnacentral:rRNA from 1 species
GGAAAGGCGAAAAGAACCCCGGCGAGGGGAGUGAAAAAGAACCUGAAACCGUGUACGUACAAGCAGUGGGAGCCUCUUUAUGGGGUGACUGCGUACCUUUUGUAUAAUGGGUCAGCGACUUAUAUUCUGUAGCAAGGUUAACCGAAUAGGGGAGCCGAAGGGAAACCGAGUCUUAACUGGGCGUUAAGUUGCAGGGUAUAGACCCGAAACCCGGUGAUCUAGCCAUGGGCAGGUUGAAGGUUGGGUAACACUAACUGGAGGACCGAACCGACUAAUGUUGAAAAAUUAGCGGAUGACUUGUGGCUGGGGGUGAAAGGCCAAUCAAACCGGGAGAUAGCUGGUUCUCCCCGAAAGCUAUUUAGGUAGCGCCUCGUGAAUUCAUCUCCGGGGGUAGAGCACUGUUUCGGCAAGGGGGUCAUCCCGACUUACCAACCCGAUGCAAACUGCGAAUACCGGAGAAUGUUAUCACGGGAGACACACGGCGGGUGCUAACGUCCGUCGUGAAGAG